AAAGAGGUCACUGACUGGUGCAGUCGGCCGGAUCUCUGUUAGCACCUAGAGAAUAGACCCAUUGCCUUUUGGAUCAGUGGCAGGGCAGCAUGGAGUUAACCUAGACUCAAUGGGCUGGAUUUACUGUGGCAUUUCUGGUCUUCUGAGCUCAGUGUGUGUGUGUGUCCCCUGAAACACAGUUACAGGUCAGCCCUGCAACUUAGAACUGCAAAGCUGUGAGAGCCGCAGUUACCCCUUUAUCUGUUGCUGUAACCUGGCUCUAAUUUGAUCUCUUUUCUGUCUCAUCCAACGCUUUCAGGAGCAUCUGUGCAGAGUGACAAGAAAAUCAACCUGUCAAAUUUGGCGGUUGGGAACAAUGCAGCAUAUGGCAGCCCAGAGUAUGCGGUUAUAGAUUCUCCCGCAGCCACUGACCAAACAGGACUUUACAGCAAUGUUGAGAUCCUUCCUAACUCACUGAACCCUGACAGCAAUUAUGUAGGAAUCCAGCCCCACUGUCAGGUAGGAAGAAAAUGCAACAGCUUCCCUGAGGAGCUCAGGACUGCAGCUAAGUCAAGAUCACCCACUCAGGGCUCAGCGGGAAACACUUAACAAGGCAGGGAACUCCCCUCUCUGCCAGCUCUGCAGACUUAAGAUAAACUGGACUUAUUUAAAACUGGACUCAAGACUGCAGCCCUUACUCAGACAAAUCGUCCCAAGCACUUCAAUGGGGCUACCUGCAUGAGUGAGAGUUGCAGGGUAGACCCACAGCAUAGGAAGCAGUCUGGGGUUAGCAUCUA
rnacentral:lncRNA from 1 species